CCCGCGACCCUAGUGAGGAUAAGCGGUACAUAAAAAGGAUGGAUGGAUGGAAGUACAAGAUGUUUCAGACUUCCAGACAUUUUUGAACGUUUUAAUGUGGGUCAAAAUGUACAGGACCAAAGGCAAAUGUACAGUAUUGCAAAAAUUUGCAUUUUUUUGCUGCAAUUUCCCGCAAAAUAAUUAGUGAAACCACAACUUUCUAGUGUCUUAAAAGUUAAAUUGUGUGAAAUAAGUGAAAUUCCAUUCUAUUCUCUUAUCCGGAGAAUAUCCUUUCAGUGACCUGCUUAUCCGGGUCCAGGUCACGUGGGAGCAGGCUCAGUAGGUAAGCCCAGACUUCCCGGUUCCCAGCCCAACUCCUCCUGCUCCACUGGGAGGACACCAAGGCGUUCCCAGGCCAGCCAAGGAGGUGUCCAGACUAGAUGCCCGAGACACCUCAACUGGCUCCUCUCAAUGUGAAGGAGGAGCGGCUCUACUCUGAGCCCCUCCCGGAUGACUGAGGUCCUCACCCUAUCUCUUAAAGUGAGUCCAGCUACACUGCGGAGGAAACUCAUUUCAGCUGAGGAGUGUGAUCCCCUAUAGUGGGAACACGCCCUCCGGUCACCCUUCUUGAAAAGGGGGACCACCACUGCAGUCUGCCAAUCCAAAAGGUACUGCUGUAUUUGUUUGUGAAAUGAAAAACAUUCAUUUCAAUGGGGAAAAAAACUAGGAGGUUUCCCACUGCAAUUUAUUUAGUUAGCAUGUAGGAAACUACAAUCCAAAUAGUAGCUAGUGUUCUGUCCUUUUUAGUGGCCAUUUUUCAAUUCCUUUACUCAACAUAUUGUUAGCCGACCACAAGUUUGUAAUUGCACGAUGGUUUUCCAAAACAUCUUGAGCUCCUCUCUCGGCAUGCUGCGCCACACUAAACGCAUCACCCCUCCGCGACCCAAACAUUUGCCUUACAUUAAUCAUUAUAAUUCUUCCAGUCAGGCGUCCUGUCUUAAAUCAUCUGCUCCACAUUAGCCAUGAGAAAGAAGCACAUACACACACACACACACACAAAAGGCUAGUUCAUCGAGAGGAGGGCGCUCCGUUACAAACUGUUAACCUUCUUAAAUGGUGUGAGCUGGUUUGUACGUGUACGUGUGUGGAGGGGUUUGUAUUGCUGAAAAAAAAGGCACGAGGAUCUGCCUUGUGGGGAUGAAGAGACAAGAAGAACAAGGAGUGUUUUAGAGGAUCUUUCGCCUUGCGGGAAAGUGAGGCCUGGUGUGGAGCGAAAGGGUGGCCGACCUCAGCUGUUUGGGGACAUAUGCAUGAAAGCUCUCUUUGUAUUUCACAUGUGGGCGGGAAAUAGUUAAACAUUUUGUCAAAUUCCUACUUCACUUGAAAUGAAUCAUCUCCAAAAAAUAAUAAUCCGGCUUCCCUCUGUCACUGAUCUCAACUGUGGAGAAUGUACACCAAAAGAAUUGACAUCUGUGAGCCAUUUCAAAAUAAGACUUAUUACCUGUUGAGUCUUUCUGACACACACACACUAUUACACUGACAUCAUCAUGGCCUCUUUUCUGCUGAGUUGCGUCUUUACUCGCAACAGUUGGGCAUGAUUAACUGAGUUGGGCAUUAUUAACUUCAUCAUUACUUGAAGCAUUUGAGGCAAAAUUGAGUGCACUACUUGAUGGCAACCAGCAGAGGUGCUCUUACACUUCUGCUUGCCAUCCACUCUAAGUCAUUUGUUGGCAGCCUAAAAGGAAAAAAGGCAAUAAGAUGCAAAAUGGACAAGAAAUCACAAUUAGCUGCUGUAGGAUGUUUUUUUCCAAAUGUAGAUUUUAAAGAAGCAGCGGCAACAAAAGAGAAUAUAACAUUAUUGUUAAGUCAGAGUGACCAACUGGGGGCUCAGACAGCAGUCAGUCAUUUGACUGCUUGUGACCUUCUCACCUUACCCGUGGAAACAACCCGCUCCACACAUUCUCCCGACUUGCUUGUUAUUUGACGUGAAAUAAAACCUGAACUAAGCCCACAUAUUAAGCCAGACCCUAUGCAUUUUCAGCUGCUCUUAUCUCACGCACCAUCAGCCAUGCAGAGGCUUGACUUUUGUGGCACCUCCUUGCGAAGCUGAAACAUUCCCUGCUGGUGUUAGCUUCGGCGCCCAUGGACUCUUUCCCCUCAAUCUGUGAUUAAAUUCACAAAGAGCUGCUAUAUAAACAGUCCGGCAUCUGGGGGACGGAAAAAUCUCUCGCCACAGGAACGUGGCUGAGUCUUUCUGUUAUUAAUAUUUCAUACGAGUGCAGGCGGACGGCGAGAAGGAGGGAGUGAGGCGGGGUCACGGAAGAGUCAAUACUUUUUUUGUAUAGUGAAAGAAUACAGCUUUGCACUUUAUGUGGCAAAAGAAUGUCAGGCUGUAGAGUAGUUCUUAUUUAUAAGGAAAAAAAAUCUUUCCUUGUAUCCAAUAUUUUCUUUGAAAACAUAGACUUUCUGAGCCGGAGACAUGCAGGAUUAAUCCCACUCUGUUGGUUUUGUCCUUUCAUUCCAGCUGCCUAAUAACCUGUCAAAACAGCUCGAGCAAGAGACCCCCCAACCCCCGUCUCUCUCCACACACACACACACACACACACACACAAACUCCCAGACCUCAUUUUUUUAAAGAAAGAAAAUGAAGUGUAGCCUGUCCUCCAUUAGCCAGAGAGAAGGCUAAGCAUUGUGUCAGUGGAAGGUCACAAGAGGGCCCUGUGUUCAUUACCUGCCAGUAAAGAUGGAGGCAUGUUGUCCAGGUGCAGGCCAGACUGGUAGAGGUGCAGGAUAUGUUCAAAUGUCUCCAGAGUCUCAUUCAUGUUGGCUUUCAGUUCACCUGGACACAACACGCAUGCAAUGUAUUCAGAAUACAGUGAGAGAAAAUCUCACCAUGUCUACGUGCACUAUAUAUGGAAGCUGAUCAGGAAGUGAACCUGGAAGAAAGUAAGUUCCACUCUCCUGGGAAGACAUUCAACAAGAAUCUGGAGUGUGUCUGUGUGGAAUUUUUGGCUCCAUUCAUCCAGAAAAGCAUUUGUGAGGUCAGAGGUCACAGACAGACGAGGGGGGGCCUGCUGGUCUUUGGGAGCAUUUGGAAGUUGGAAGCGUUGGAUAGUCCAAAAUGUCUUGGGGAAUUAAGGCAUCUAUGUCAGCUCCUUAUUGAUUAACUGGAAAAAAGCAUCCUUGUAGAUGACUACAGUGCAUUCCACCAGGCAUUCCUCAAUUGAUCAAGGUAUUGGAUAUGUACACUAUACUGUAAUAACUGGUGUCUUAGAAUAUUCAACUAUUUGAAUCGGAGGAGUCUCAUUCGACUAUCAAUCUCACCAUUGACUCAUAUGAAAAUGUUAUGUGAUCAAGAUUGUACCAUUCUGACUACAUCGGGGGUUCCCACGGCCACGGGUGAGCAUACAUUUUUACAUGGAAUGACUUUGUUUUUGUUAUAAAAUAGCAAAGAAAACCUAUGCUUAUGCAAGAUAGAGGCAUGUUUUUUUGUAUUUUGUAGUUCAUUCAUUCAUUAAUUUUCUACCGCUUAUCCUCACAGGGGUCACGGUGGUGCUGGAGCCUAUACCAGCUCUCUUUGGGCGAUAGGCGGGGUACACCGUGGAUUAUAUCCUGCCUCUUCCUGCUUCCCUCACAUACGCCGCGAGACGAGCAGCUCAGGGUGAAAUUUCGGUGUGGAAACUGGAGGGAGCAGUCGGCAUCGGACCGGCAGGUGGUUUCGGCUGCGCUGGCAUCAUCGAGAUCGCCCAGCAAGCCACGCUCGGAUCCCUGCAGUGUCAGCUGGGCUUCUGUUGACUCCCACACUGUGAGUAUACCUGCCAUGGGGGGUUGAGCUAAAGCUAUGUGUGUGUGUGUGUGUGUGUGUGUAUGCUGAAAUGACAUUCCUAGCCUGCAGUGGAUUAACUCUUGGUCCCAUCUCCAUUCCAACCGGGGCCUGAUCAAAUACACUGAGGGGCAGAUGUCAGACCUCCUAAAGUUUCACGGUUCCACCUCUCAUCCCACAUGCCUUACCAUGCAAAAACAGUGACCUUUGAACUGAGUGACAGCACAGCAAGGCAGAAUGAGACUUUGGGAAGGUGUGAAGACAUGAAAUGAUGCGGCACACGGUCACGCGGCCGCCGGAUGUGAGAAAGCUGUCAGUUUGGCGGUGAUAGCUGCACCAUGUGGUUUCAGACGGAUAGUAAAAGGAGACACGUUGUCUGUUCCGGAAAAAGUGCCCCCAAAAGGUCAGGAGGGGGUCAACAGAUUUAAUGUAAUUAGAAGGGAAGGUGCAGGAUUUGCAGCGAGUGUGAGACAAAGGGAACAUGUGACAAAAAAAAUCGAACACAAUAUGGAGUUCAUAUUGUGAAAAAUAUGUGAGGAUGUUUUUUCUACACCAAACUCAUCCAAGAAUACCUUUAUGAGCAUCAUACUGUUCCGACAAAGUCCCCAAAUGAUGACCAAUUAAGAUUUAAGGGCAAAAAAAGGAGGUUUGAGCGUUGAAAAGGAACAAUUAUGCUCAAAAAAACAAAAUCAAAUCUCUCAUCCUAACAGCAAAGUAAAAUAUUAUUAAGUAAAUAAAAAUUCCAGUCUUGUGUGUAUAAGUGUAUAUUGUCUACUCAGCGUUUCCUUAAAGAUAUCUGUUAAUAUUUGGUAUUUUAUCUUAGUAUUUAUUCUCAUUGCAUUGUACUGAUGUCAGAAGGCUUCCUUGAAAGACAUUUAUCUAUGAAAUAGAUCUUUUUACAAAUAUUUUAGCCAUGUAAAAGUGAAGGACGAUGUGUAAGUCAUUUCUCAUUCACUAAAGUAAUGGUUUUAUUUCAUUUGAACGUGCAUCAGAUUACAAGUGAAUGCAUCACAUAAUCAGUUCACAGUUCCACAUGUCCAAAAGGAGUCGGAAGAAGCAAAGCUUAUUAAAUCCUACCCCUCCAUAUGGUACUUUUACAAUCAGUAACUGUUACAUUUGUUCACUUCCUGCUUUCCUAAUAUAAUUUGAAUUUUUUUAAUUACAUUUUUUUAUAAUUUAGUUCUUCCCUGAUAUCAUAUUUCUCCUCUCUUGUAGAGAAGUAUUGGAUGACAUUUUUAGGUAUUUGGUUAUU